GAUCCUGGCUCAGAUUGAACGCUGGCGGCAGGCUUAACACAUGCAAGUCGAACGGUAACAUAAAGAAGCUUGCUUCUUUGAUGACGAGUGGCGGACGGGUGAGUAAUGCUUGGGAAUCUAGCUUAUGGAUGGGGAUAACUACGGGAAACUGUAGCUAAUACCGCGUAGAAUCGAGAGAUGAAAGUGUGGGACCUUCGUGCCACAUGCCAUAGGAUGAGCCCAAGUGGGAUUAGG
rnacentral:rRNA from 1 species